AAAGUCGUAACAAGGUUUCCGUAGGUGAACCUGCGGAAGGAUCAUUACUGGAAAUAUUCGAGGUUGUAGCUGGCCUUCCGGGGCAUGUGCUCGCCUUGAUUCAAAUCCAUCUAACACCUGUGCACUUAAUGUAGUCUAUUGAAAACGGGCUUGUUUCUCUCUCUCUCUCUCUCUCUUGGGUCACACCAAAGGGGGGGGAGGGAAGGACAGUCUUUUUGAUUUAGAUCUACGUCUUUCACACAUACACUUAAAAAGUUUAGAAUGUAAUACUUGUGAUAAAUACACAUUUAAAACAACUUUCAACAACGGAUCUCUUGGCUCUC
rnacentral:misc_RNA from 1 species